rnacentral:rRNA from 1 species
UCCAAAAAUUAGUCCCAGUUCAGAUUGCAGGCUGCAACUCGCCUGCAUGAAGUCGGAAUUGCUAGUAAUCGUGGAUCAGCAUGCCACGGUGAAUACGUUCCCGGGCCUUGUACACACCGCCCGUCACACCAUGGGAGUCGGUAACACCCGAAGCCUGUAGUCUAACCGCAAGGAGGACGCAGUCGAAGGUGGGAUUGAUGACUGGGGUGAAGUCGUAACAAGGUACC